rnacentral:misc_RNA from 1 species
UUGAAUAAACUUGAAAUAGGUUGUUGCUGGCUUUUAGAAGUAUGUGCACACUUGUUUCAUUUUUUUCUUAACAUCUCCUGUGCACCUGUGUAAAUCUGAACAUCUCGAAAAGAAGUAUUUUUUAAAUACUUUUCUCGGUUUGAGAAUUGUCAUGCUGUAAAGUUUAGACUCUUCUUGUUUCAGAUUUAUGUUUUUGAUACACACCUAGAAAAAUAAUAGAAUGUUUGUUAUACUGGCUCUUAUGAUGCCUUUAAAAACAUAUACAACUUUCAACAACGGAUCUCUUGGCUCUCGCAUCGAUGAAGAACGCAGCGAAAUGCGAUAAGUAAUGUGAAUUGCAGAAUUCAGUGAAUCAUCGAAUCUUUGAACGCACCUUGCGCUUCUUGGUAUUCCGAGAAGCAUGCCUGUUUGAGUGUCAUAAAAUUCUCAAGUUUAUCUGGCUUUUUUUAAAGCUUGGAUAGACUUGGAUUAUGGAAGUUGCUGGCUUUUUAGUUAGCUCUUCUUAAAUAUAUUAGCAAACAUAUUGCUGGUCAUCAUUUGAUAAUGAUAAUUAUCUAUAUCAUUGAUGAAUAGUAUUUUGCUUCUAAUCAUCAUUAUCAUAAAAGAUAAUAUAUUUUAAUUGUU